rnacentral:rRNA from 1 species
GCUCGAGUGGCGAACGGGUGAGUAACACGUGAGUAACCUGCCCUUGACUUUGGGAUAACUUCAGGAAACUGGGGCUAAUACCGGAUAGGAGCUCCUGCUGCAUGGUGGGGGUUGGAAAGUUUCGGCGGUUGGGGAUGGACUCGCGGCUUAUCAGCUUGUUGGUGGGGUAGUGGCUUACCAAGGCUUUGACGGGUAGCCGGCCUGAGAGGGUGACCGGCCACAUUGGGAAUGAGAUACGGCCCAG